rnacentral:rRNA from 1 species
GGGUGUGCACUGUCGUGUCCGGUCUACGUCUGGUUUCAAUCUAUAGUGCUCUUAACCGGGUGCUAUAGAUGCCAGAAGUUUACUCUGAAAAAAUAGAGUGCUAAAGCAGGCCGUUGUGCUUGAAUACUGUUGCAUGGAAUAAUGGAAUAGCGACCUCGGAUCUAUUUUUGUGGUUUCUCGAGCUCGAGGUAAUGAUUUAGAGGGACCAGCACGGCGGCAUUCGUAUUGCGCGUUAGAAGGUGAAAUUCUGGAUCGCGGCAAGACGAACCACAUGCGAAAGCAUUUGCCAAGGAUGUUUUUCAUUAAUCAAGAACGAAAAGUCAGAGGUUCGAAGACGAUCAGAUACCCGUCGUAGUUUCUGACCAUAAACGAUGCCAACUGGCGAUCCCGCCCGUAGUCUGGCUUAAAGGACUCGGCCGGGCAGCCUCCCGGGAACCCUAAGUCUAUGGGUUCCGGGGGAAGUAUGGUUGCAAAGCUGAAACUUAAAGGAAUUGACGGAAGGGCACCACCAGGAGUGGAGCCUGCGGCUUAAUUUGACUCAACACGGGAAAACUCACCCGGCCAGGACACCGUAAGGAUUGACAGACUGAGAGCUCUUUCUUGAUUCGGUGGGUGGUGGUGCAUGGCCGUUCUUAGUUGGUGGAGCGAUUUGUCUGGUUAAUUCCGAUAACGAACGAGACUCUAGCCUGCUAAAUAGACGGGCGAUCCCAUUGUGGGUCGACCCGAUCAGCUUCUUAGAGGGACAAGUGG